rnacentral:rRNA from 1 species
CGCGUAGGCGGGAUGGCAAGUCGGUCGUGGAAUCCCUCGGCUCAACUGAGGAUCGUCGAUCGAUACUGCCGUUCUUGAGGAUUGCAGAGGAGACUGGAAUUCCCGGUGUAGCGGUGAAAUGUGUAGAGAUCGGGAGGAACACCGGUGGCGAAGGCGGGUCUCUGGGCAAUUCCUGACGCUGAGGCGCGAAAGCGUGGGGAGCAAACGGGAUUAGAUACCCCGGUAGUCCACGCUGUAAACGAUGACGACUAGGUGUGGGGGGGUUCAGUCCCUUCCGUGCCGCAGCUAACGCAUUAAGUCGUCCGCCUGGGGAGUACGGCCGCAAGGUUGAA